CCCUGGCGAAGGAGCUUGAUAAGUCUCGCUGCCCUGAAGAGCCGCAGGAAGCUGAGGUUGAUGAAGUUGUUCCAGAACACCGUCACAAGGAUCUCCGU